UAUUUCGCGCCCUGCUAUUCCAUUGGCUGUUGGCUAGGUCCGCUAGCGGAACUCCUGUCCAUAACAGGUUUUAACAGGAACAGGAUGUGCCUGUCCAACCCUCUUUCCCACAUCAAGGAUGGUGUCACAUGGUCACACAGCUCUCUUCAUUGAGACGGCACAAUAGAAGCAUCAGUGUCGCCCAUUAUCCCCUAUGUAUUCAUACCUGUGUUCUGUCUUUUGCCAGUUUGUUUUGUUUCAUCAAGUCUACCAGUGUUUUUCCCUCUGCUCCUGUCUCUCGAUUGUUCCUGUUUCCUAAUUUCCCCGGCGUUGACCAUUCUGCCUGACCCUUGAGCCUGCCUGCCGUCCUGUACCUUUGCCCCACCUAUCUGGAGUACUGACCUCUGCCUGCCCUGGACCUGUCCUUUUGCCUGCCCAUGUUCGAAUAAUAAACGUAAUUUCGAAA